CCUACGGGCGGGCAGCAGUGGGGAAUAUUGCACAAUGGGGGGAACCCUGAUGCAGCGACGCCGCGUGAGUGAAGAAGUAUUUCGGUAUGUAAAGCUCUAUCAGCAGGGAAGAUAAUGACGGUACCUGACUAAGAAGCCCCGGCUAACUACGUGCCAGCAGCCGCGGUAAUACGUAGGGGGCAAGCGUUAUCCGGAUUUACUGGGUGUAAAGGGUGCGUAGGUGGCAGGGCAAGUCAGAUGUGAAAGCCCGGGGCCCAACCCCGGUACUGCAUUUGAAACUGUCCGGCUGGAGUGCAGGAGAGGUAAGCGGAAUUCCUAGUGUAGCGGUGAAAUGCGUAGAUAUUAGGAGGAACACCAGUGGCGAAGGCGGCUUACUGGACUGUAACUGACACUGAGGCACGAAAGCGUGGGGAGCAAACAGGAUUAGAUACCCGUGUAGUC
rnacentral:rRNA from 1 species